rnacentral:rRNA from 1 species
UACGUAGGGUGCAAGCGUUUGUCCGGAUUUAUUGGGCGUAAAGAGCUCGUAGGCGGCUUGUUACGUCGGCUGUGAAAACCCGCGGCUCAACCGCGGGCCUGCAGCCGAUACGGGCAGGCUAGAGUUCGGUAGGGGAGACUGGAAUUCCUGGUGUAGCGGUGAAAUGCGCAGAUAUCAGGAGGAACACCGGUGGCGAAGGCGGGUCUCUGGGCCGAUACUGACGCUGAGGAGCGAAAGCGUGGGGAGCGAACAGG